ACUCAAAGGAAUUGACGGGGGCCCGCACAAGCGGUGGAGCAUGUGGUUCAAUUCGAUGCAACGCGAAAAACCUUACCUGGGUUUGAAGUGCUAGUGAAUGUGGUAGAGAUAUCACAGGCCUUCGGGACACUAGUAUCAGGUGCUGCAUGGCUGUCGUCAGCUCGUGUCGUGAGAUGUCGGGUUAAGUCCCAUAACGAGCGCAACCCCUAUAUUUAGUUGCCAGCAUUAAGUUGGGCACUCUAGAUAGACUGCCGGCGUUAAGCCGGAGGAAGGCGGGGAUGACGUCAAGUCCUCAUGGCCUUUAUGUCCAGGGCUACACACGUGCUACAAUGGUCGGUACAAAGGGAUGCAAGACCGCGAGGUGGAGCAAAUCCCAAAAAACCGAUCUAAGUUCGGAUAGGAGUCUGCAACUCGACUCCUUGAAGCUGGAAUCGCUAGUAAUCGUGGAUCAGCAUGCCACGGUGAAUACGUUCCCGGGCCUUGUACACACCGCCCGU
rnacentral:rRNA from 1 species